AUUCACAAAGUGCUGUGUGGUUAAGGUGAUUACAAAGCCACUGAAUUUUAGUCAUAAUUCUGCCCGUUUUCCUUAAAUUGCAAUACGAUUUUAUUAUUUUAAGUUUAUGCAUAUACAUAUAAAAGAAAUAUCUCCAGUCACCAUUUGAAGUCUGAGUUGGGUGUAGAUUGCCAAAACUGUGCUGCCAAGAUGUUGUAACAAAUCUCGCGAUAGGAUAGAUCAUCUCGCGAUAGGAUAGAUUAUCUCGCGAUGGGAUAGAUUAGCUCGCAAUACAAUACAUUAUCUCGCGAGAAAACUUUAACACGUUGUUGUCGUUCCAUAACCAGGAGGAGAGCGCGUCGUUGUGUUGCAAAGCUUUACGAAUUAUUAAAAAUCUACUGGUGGUGGAUGCACAACAUGACACCAUCAAUGUCAACAACACUCGUGGACCCGUGGACACAUGUUGAGGUGGUCACAUAACGAACAGCCAUCUGUCAGGCCAUGUGCCACAACCGAACAAGUAUUGUCUCCAGUCCCAAAUGCUUCAUUGCCAUCCCAGUCCCAGAGGACCCCCCAGUCCAACCCUGGUCCUCGAGAGCCACUGCACUGCUUGUUUUCCAGCUGUCCCUGCCCUUCCAGCUUCUGAUUGACAACACACCUGAUCCAUUACUAAUCAGCAGUGAGUAAGGCAUGGCUAGUUGGUAAACAAGCAGAUGCUCUGAAGAGGUGGAGUCCAACUGCCACAGACUCCAAAAUUGAUGCAUCAAUGGUGGAACACCUAAAGCACGCUCCAGGAAGAGCUGGGGGCGGUGGUUAUAAGAAAUAAGCUGUUUUGAGAGACAUUUACAUGCGUGUUUACAUUAAUCCAGUAUUUUUUUGUACUUGUUUGAUUUAUAGCUGUUUAAAAUUAAUGCAAAACUGUUUCAAUUAAUAAAAAUUGAGUACUGCCACAAUAAUAAUGCUUCUGGAAGAGCAGGUGCUUGUGGAGCAACAAAAUGAUAGUAAACAUUUUGGAAUAAUGAUGAAUAAAUAAAAGAUUAUAAAUAUA